AGGACGAACGCUGGCGGCGUGCUUAACACAUGCAAGUCGAGCGGUAAGGCCCUUCGGGGUACACGAGCGGCGAACGGGUGAGUAACACGUGGGUGAUCUGCCUCGCACUCUGGGAUAAGCCUGGGAAACUGGGUCUAAUACCGGAUAUGACCACGAAUCGCAUGGUUUGUGGUGGAAAGGUUUACUGGUGCGAGAUGGGCCCGCGGCCUAUCAGCUUGUUGGUGGGGUAACGGCCUACCAAGGCGACGACGGGUAGCCGGCCUGAGAGGGCGACCGGCCACACUGGGACUGAGACACGGCCCAGACUCCUACGGGAGGCAGCAGUGGGGAAUAUUGCACAAUGGGCGAAAGCCUGAUGCAGCGACGCCGCGUGAGGGAUGACGGCCUUCGGGUUGUAAACCUCUUUCGACAGGGACGAAGCGCAAGUGACGGUACCUGUAGAAGAAGCACCGGCCAACUACGUGCCAGCAGCCGCGGUAAUACGUAGGGUGCGAGCGUUGUCCGGAAUUACUGGGCGUAAAGAGCUUGUGGGCGGUCUGUCGCGUCGAUCGUGAAAACGUGCAGCUCAACUGCGCGCCUGCGGUCGAUACGGGCAGACUAGAGUCUUCAGGGGAGACUGGAAUUCCUGGUGUAGCGGUGAAAUGCGCAGAUAUCAGGAGGAACACCGGUGGCGAAGGCGGG
rnacentral:rRNA from 1 species